rnacentral:misc_RNA from 1 species
GGUUCGAUUAUAAGCUCAGAUUGAACGCGCUGGCGGGAUGCUUUACACAUGCAAGUCGAACGGCAGCACGGACUUCGGUCUGGUGGCGAGUGGCGAACGGGUGGUAAGUAAUGGGGCGCGUGCCUUCGGGGAUGUACGCGGCGUAGCUAUACCGCACGCCUUCGGGGAAAGCGGGGACCUUCGGGCCUCGCACUAUUAGAGCGGCCGAUAUCGGAUUAUUU